rnacentral:tRNA from 1 species
GAGUCGGUACGAGAAAUGGUUAAACUCACGAGGCUUAGGACCUCGCGCUUUAGUGCUUUGCAGGUUCGAAUCCUGCCCGGCUCA